GGCACUUUGGCGGAGUGGUUAACGCGAUGCCCUGCUAUUAUUGAUAACAAUUGUCGGUAACAGUGUAGGCAUUCCCUUCGGGGGCGUGUGUUCGAAUCACACAGGUGUCG